UGUGCUGGUUCUCUUGAUGCUUACAAAAUGU
rnacentral:piRNA from 1 species